rnacentral:rRNA from 1 species
GAUGAACGCUGGCGGCGUGCCUAAUACAUGCAAGUCGAGCGAAUGGAUUAAGAGCUUGCUCUUAUGAAGUUAGCGGCGGACGGGUGAGUAACACGUGGGUAACCUGCCCAUAAGACUGGGAUAACUCCGGGAAACCGGGGCUAAUACCGGAUAACAUUUUGAACCGCAUGGUUCGAAAUUGAAAGGCGGCUUCGGCUGUCACUUAUGGAUGGACCCGCGUCGCAUUAGCUAGUUGGUGAGGUAACGGCUCACCAAGGCAACGAUGCGUAGCCGACCUGAGAGGGUGAUCGGCCACACUGGGACUGGGACACGGCCCAGACUCCGACGGGAGGCAGCAGUAGGGAAUCUUCCGCAAUGGACGAAAGUCUGACGGAGCAACGCCGCGUGAGUGAUGAAGGCUUUCGGAUCGUAAAACUCUGUUGUUAGGGAAGAACAAGUGCUAGUUGAAUAAGCUGGCACCUUGACGGUACCUAACCAGAAAGCCACGGCUAACUACGUGCCAGCCGCCGCAGUAA